rnacentral:tRNA from 1 species
AGGGUUGUAGCUCAGUAGUAGAGCGCUUGCCUAGCAUGUAGGAGGCACUGGGUUUGAUUCUCAACACUG